GGGGACAAAUUAAUAAAAAUAAUAAUAAUAAAAAAAAUUUUAAAAUUAAAAAUAUUUAAUGGGGGUUAAAGUAUUUUUAAAAGAAAAAAUUUUUUUAUUUAUAGUUAAUUAGUAUUGUAAAAGAAUUAUGAAAUAAUUUGAAAAAAAAUUAAAAAAAAAGUAAAUUUAAUUUAUUGUAUCUUGUGUAUCAGAGUUUAUUAAAAAUUUUCAAUUUUUUUUUGGGGUCUCGAAUUUAAAAGAGUUAAUUAAUUAAUAAAGUUAUUGUAGAAUAAAUAUUUUAAAUAAUUAAUUAGAAAUGAAAUGUUAAUCGUUUUUAAAAAUAUCUAGUUUUUUUAGAAAAAAAUUUAAUUUUUAAUCUAAAUAAAAAUUAAAAUAAAUAUUUAUUUUAAUUUUUAUUUAGAUUAAAUAAUUUAGGGGAUAAGCUUUAAAUUAAAAUUUUAUAAUUAUUAUUUUUUUUUUAAUUUAAAAAUUUUAUAAUUUAUAUUGUUAAUAAAUUUUAUUUUAUUAUAAAUAAUUUAAAAUAAUUAAAAAUUUAAUUUAAUUUAAUUUUUUAUAAAAAUAUUUAUAAAAACUUUUAAUGUGAAGAAAUUAUGAUAAAAUUAGUAAAUAAAUUUGAAUAAUUUAAAGUAAAAUUUUUAAAAAAUAUUUUUCAGGAAUUCGGCAAAUAUUUAUAUUCACUUGUUUAUCAAAAACAUGUCUUUUUGAAAAUAAUUUAAAGUCUAAUCUGCCCACUGAUAAAUAUUAAAGGGCUGCAGUAUAUUGACUGUACAAAGGUAGCAUAAUCAUUAGUCUCUUAAUUGGUGACUUGUAUGAAAGAUUGGAUGAGAUAUAAACUGUCUAAAAAAUAAUUUAUUGAAUUUAAUUUUUUAAUUAAAAAGUUAAAAUAUAUUAAAAAGACGAGAAGACCCUAUAGAGUUUUAUAUUAAUUUAAAUUUUAAUUAUAUAUAAAUAAUAAUAAUAAUAAAUUUAAAUUAAUAUUUUAUUGGGGUGAUAAAAAAAUAAAAAAAACUUUUUUUUAAAAUAAUCAUAGAUAAAUGAAUUUUUGAUCCAGUUAUAUUGAUUAAAAGAAAAAAUUACCUUAGGGAUAACAGCGUAAUUUUUUUUUUUAGUUCAUAUAAAAAAAAAAGUUUGCGACCUCGAUGUUGGAUUAAGAUAAAAUUUAAAUGCAAAAGUUUAAAAUUUUUGAUCUGUUCGAUCAUUAAAAUCUUACAUGAUCUGAGUUCAAACCGGUGUAAGCCAGGUUGGUUUCUAUCUUUUAAAUUUUUUUAUAUUUUAGUACGAAAGGAUUGAAUAUUAUAAUUAAAUUAAUUUAUUAUGAAUUUUAUUAAAAAUAUAAUUUAAAUAUAAAAUAAUAUGUGAUAUAUAUAUAUAUAUAUAUAUAUAUAUAUAUAUAUAUUAGUUAAUAAC
rnacentral:rRNA from 1 species